UUUGCCUUCGACGACUUUUCUGAUUCCAACCGAAAGUAUUGUUUCUCUUUCAUAUCUCUUUCUCGGUGCCGUAUGUUCGUGUUUCUGUGGUGAUCUAUGAAACGACUGGGAAGUUAUCACUGGAAGGAUGAUUGAAGAUAUAUCUAUUGAUAACUACAGCAGAUUUUGGCAUCCAGGUUUGGAUAACCAAGACCAUCUAUCGGAUAGACAGAUCCCGUCCCCCGUUUUAAUCAUGAAGUAGAAACAUCGUGCAUAUCACAACUCAGUAAAGGAUUUGUAGAAGCUUUGUUUUGUAUCCGGUUGCGAGUGUUAAUGUCAGGAGUUCGUCUCGAUGAUCUUUAUUCUGGCCAAGCAUAGAAAGCAAGCCAGUAGGGAGCAGAGCUGUCGACAUACUGUGGGUUGAUACCUCGUGAUCUUCCACCUUUAGCAAGGCUGUCUGCACGGACGUUCCAGGAUCUUGGAAUAUGAAUGAUGGAAAUUUCCAGAAAUUUGAUCUCAUCAAUUUCAGCUGCCAUGGAGGGCCAAUCUUCUUCACUUUGUAUCAGCUUAACGAGUUGCUUGCAGUCUAUUUCAAAUUAAAGAAAAAGAAAGCGAGGAUGAAAAUAACGAUGCAAGGCAUGAUGUAUUAGUAAAGGAGACCAACUACUCUUUAUGAAGAAACAGAGGGACAUGGGACAGAAUUGAGAUAUAGAAAAGCUGAAGCAGAGUGAUGGUGAAGCUAAGAGAUAUGUGAAACAUCUGGAAUAGAUUAGAUAGCAAAGGGAGGACACAGUUAUUAUCUCAGAACCAUGUACCAGUAACCAAGCUGCAAAAGAAGACAACAACUUUGACCGGACAACGGACUUAUAAUACGACUGAUGAAAACCGGAAGUGUUACAACCUUGGAAUGCGAUGUAGACGAAGAGGAAGGAAGGUAAUAUCACAAAUUAAUACAAUGCUUGGUUUAGUAAUGGUUUGUAAUUGAAUGGUUUAGUAAUAAGGCUAAACAAUGUAUUUUUUUAAUUAGAUAGUACGAUACGUAGGCAACCAAGGAUGAAGUUUAAACAUUAAUUUUAAAUUAUUAAAUAAAAUAAAUUAAUUAUAUA